rnacentral:sRNA from 1 species
GUGUCAUGAAGGACAUUUGUACUCGAAUUCAUGGAGUGCCAUUCCUGAUGGGAGAGGAGGCCCAUGACAGUGACAGUCAUGCUAGUGAUCGCGGACACCACACCAUGCUGCCUUUGCCAGCUGGCUCCUUCAGCGAGUCCUCGCGCCAAGCCUGGGAGGUAGAGAUGCUGAUCGCGUGGACAGCACCACAUUAUUGGGUAAUGCAUGCCAGGACUGUGCAAAGAGGAAGUUAGAAGAGAAUGGAAUUGAAGUUUCCAAAAAACGCACACAAUCAGAUACUGAUGAUGCUGGAGGGUCUUGAAAUCUUUACAGUAAAACCUGCAACUUGAAAACUAGCCUUCUGUAACCACAGUGCCCAAACGAAGAGGAAUGUAUGGAGAACUCCACGUGGAUCUCUGAUUGCGAAACCGUCACAUACACCAAGAGAGCCACAUGGGCAUGUGGCCCUCAAGGCUGGGUGAGAGGGCUCCCCUGUGUGUUGAACUAUGCAGGAGGGUGACGCGGACACAUUUCAGGUGGACUUUGCAAGGACUGAUGGAUAGCUACCUCAGGGACCAGAAUCCGUGGGAAGGGAUGGACCUGGUGUUCCCGUUCCCAUCUGACAGGCUCUCUUUUGUCAAGGUGGUAUUUUUCGUAAUAAAAGGGGAAGAGUAAAGA